UGACCAACUUAAUUUCAUUCUUAGUCCCUUCAAAUUCCAACAGAAGGAUGCAUUUGAUUAAAACCUUGAAAUUCGAGGUACCAUGUUGAUCUGGAAUAUCGAUAAUCUGAGUAUUGUCUAUCGUUGGUUCGUGUUGGGGGAAUGUUUAUUGCUGCCAAGGGUCAUGAUCCUGAGGAUGAAGUUAAGAAAGCUGAAAACGCCAUCAAGAAAAUGGGGGCAUCAUUAUUGCAAGUAUGCUCAGUGGAAUCGCAAAGCCCAUAUGGUCAGCGUACUGCUAUCAUAUGUUUGAAGGAUCGUCCCACCCCAAUGAAAUAUCCCCGUUUUCCUGGGACACCAACUAAAGAACCAUUGUAAGAUGGAUGCUCACUCUAUUGGCUGUAUUCUGCUGUUCUUCUGACCCAAUCCUAUCACUUUUUUUGAACCAUUGUCUGAGAGAAGGACCCAUAUGAUGUGCACCAUCGACCUGAUUUUCCGCUCAUAAUAUAGGACAGAUUUUUGAUAUAAUUUAUUAUAAUUGUAGUGUUCUUUUUUUAAUAGUAAGGGUCCUAUGAGUUAUGACUUUGUUAUAGUAUAUCUUGUGAUGCUACUCUACUUGCACACAUACAAAGCAUUGCAAUAUGCCUUGUCCUAUAUAUAAAAAAAAGUUGGGCCAACAAUAGUUGAUGUAUCUACUUCAAAACUUAGACGACAUACAUCAACUUUUGUUGAGCAAACUUUUUCUUAUAUGUAGGACCAAAAGGACUUUUGGUGAUUACGAUUAUGAUUUACUUUGAGCCUUUGGAGACAUUGAUGAACCUGAAGGCAAUGCAGAAAUCUCUUGUGACAAUGACAAGGGAAAUAACUAGAUAUAUAAUUGUAGAUGUCCGUUGCCAUAUGUGUGAUGGCAAUUAUCCUAGAAGUAUGUUUUAAAAGUUGGACCUUCAAUCUUUGUUUACUUGUUAUUAUUAUCUUGGAUUUGCAAUAAGUUCAGAUUACUCUACUCAAUAAAUUUGAUAUUUUCUCAACUCCCUGGCUGAUUAUGCAUAUCUUGUUCUUUCCUGUGAUUUAUUAUUAUUAAGGGUAGUAGAUUGACUUUGAAAUUCAUGGAGAAAUUAAGAAAAUCAUACUACUCGUAUAAUUAGGGAACUAUGCUCCAAUGUUUACUUUCAUAUCAUAUCUUUCAGUUGGUUCUCCAUUCGUGAUUGUCCAAUAUGUGGAUUUGAGACAGAUUUAUAUAUCGAUAUAUAGAUAGAUAGAUACAUUUAUAAGUGCUAUGUUAAAAGCCAUAUUGCAAGUCAAAAUCAUAUCAGUGCUCAAAAUGCAAAGAGCCUAAGCCUGAGUGAAGGAUAGGGCAAAGAUGAAAAUUCCACCCAAUAAAUUAGGAGAUAACUAGUUAUCUGAGAGCAAUUGUGGACAUGAAAGUUCAGUUGGAGCUCUCAUCCCAUGUGUUGGGAGCAUGUACAAUAUGUCCCAGUGUUCCUACCAAGAAUGUGGAGUUGGAGUCCAACAAGCACAAAAAGUGGAACUCAUGCUAAAAAAAUUAGAGAAAGAGAACAUAAGAGAUCCUCCUUGCUGCUUUUCUGGUUUGUGCCUUGGUAGUUUGAUUGCAACAGCAGAAGGUGUCAUGUUGGUUUGAUGGCUGGUUUGUUUCAUUGAAGUAGCUCACUAAGUGGAGUGUAGUUUAUCAUUGCCAAUUUUAUUGCAGAGUAGCAGUUUCAUUAUUUAUGUGUUGCUUUAUUUUAUUAUUUUUUAACUUUGAUUGUAUCUGUACUGUUAUAUUCGGCUUUAAAGAAGGCAAUGUAUGAGUGCAUAAUUCAAAUAUUUGAUUCAAUUGACUUGGAUCAAUCAUGAUUCAUUUAAAUCACCAAUAUGCGACUCAGGUAUGCAAUACCAACUUUUAUAGUAGUAAGUUGUUCUUGAUUUGUUUGUAUGAAGCCAGAAGUAUGUAUGUAAUAAAACGAUAAGAGUGAAACAAUUAAAGAUAUUGGUCACAUACCUAGUUUCUUGGUAAUAAGCGUUGAGGUUGAGGUUCUUCAACAGGCUUCAUCUAAGAACUUAAAAAAUUGUUUUGGAUUUCCAAGAGCUACUUGAAGCAUGUUUUGUGAUACAGUUCAUCAGUGUGAAAGGAGUUAGAUAAAUAAACUAAACAUUGAUAUUUAAUAGUAAUGGAUAGCAAGUUCAAGUAAGAUCAACAACCUAAUUAUAUACUUAACGAUAGAUAGCAAAUAGACUUUUUGUUCUAGUGAGCUAAUCAAAAUCAACAGCACAGACCAAACUUGUAUAUGUAAAUAUUCUUACUAUGGUGAUUGUGCAAUGCUUUCCAUCCACUCUCAACCUAACAUGUGUUAUUCACACACAAACAACAAUAAUAUGAGCUAAAAAAUUAAGCACUGACACAAUUGAGGGAAGGGAAUUUGUGUUUAAAUUGAUGAUCAUAGUCGCUUGAAUUGGCCGGAACCUUCUUCUAAGAUUGUAUUUAUGUUGAUAACCAUGCUAGUAUAUGGUUUCUGUUGACUCAUCCUACAAUGAAAUGAAAAUGGUACAAACACCUAAAUACAAGAGUAAGGUGGUGGUAGUGUACCUCUUCAAAAAAGGAACGUAAUCUUGAUCCUAUUGUUUAGUAAAAAGAAAACAAAAAGCUGACAUUUUAUUAUCAGAAAAUAAAAAACAUAUGCACUCUGGCAUAAUAACACCUUUGCUUGCCGGUAAUUUCUUAGAAAUAUGCACCAUGAUAUCGUAAACAUGUUGUAAAGCAAUAAUCAUUAAAUAAACAAAACAAGACUUUCAUUAGAGCCAUAUAGUCAAAACAAGUACAAUUGAUGGCAGGGUUUGGGACAUUUCAGUUCACAACCAAGUCCUAGAAUUCAUGUGCUGCAGUAUUAUACGAACUAACAACCUUCAUUCUGAUUAUUGCACGUUUUGUGAGAAGCAACAUAUUGGUUCAAUAUCAAUGGCGAAUCCGAGUUUGAGAAAGUUGAAACGGAAACUCAAACAUAUCCUCAGUGGCAGUGGUAUUAUUAUGCUGUUCUUUCGGAUUGAUUUCAUUUGUUCAAUUUAUUAGUAACUUUUCAUCACUAGUUUGGAUUGUGUUGAAUUAUUAUUAUUAUUAUGAUAGAUGCAAAAAAUAAAAAAUAAAAAAAAUUAGAGGAUGAAUUCGAGGACUGCUCCAUGCUCGAGUAUAUCCCCAGGGCCAGGGGUAUUAUUGUUGUUUCUGAUUUCAUUUGUUUUAGUUUAGAUGGUUUAAUUAUGAUUUUUGAAUGUGUUGUUGUUGUUGGUAUUUAUUCAUUGAUUGAUUUAUGAUGCAGUAAAAGGAUAAGAUUACGAGUACACGGACAUUUCAUACUUGAGAAAAUACUUAACCGAUGAUGAUUUCAUGGAGAUUUCAAAAUUGAGCAAAUACCUGACCUCUGCUGAUUUCAACUAUGUCCACGAAAGUAUUACUACUCUUCUAUCUUGUGGAAACAUAGUCGGAAUCAGAGAAGAAAAAACAGUGCAUGGGGUAUUUAAGUAGUUGCAAUGAAUUUGUCAAGAUAAAUCAUUGGUGUUGCAAGAAUGGAGACAUAUUGCAGACUAGUCAAUCGCUGAUCACAAUUAAGAGGAUAAUGUGGAUGGUGAGAGUAGUGAGAACACUGAUAAUAGUGGAUAAUGACACAUUGGUAAGAAUGUAGUUGAUAGAGAUGAACUGCACUCAUGCGAUGAUUGGCUUCUUUUGAGAGAACCAACUUUUCUCACCAUCUUUUACUUCACCUCUCAUGAUGAAAUCUUUCAUGCACUUGACUGGCUUCAAUAGAAAAACCUCUGCUCCUUCCUCCAGGCACCUGCAAAUCAGUGAGAGUAAAACUAUUAAGAAGCAUGACUAGAAAUAUUGGCCACAUAAAAGCAUAAACACUUAAUGCAGCUAUCAGUUUUUCGGAGGAAAAGACAAAGAAUCUGAGGACAUUUCAACCUUGGAGGAGCUUAGCUCUGAUGAGCAGAAGUGGAAAUCAACAGAUGCAAAUGAUGAUUCUGAAGAUGAUUAGUUUGAUGAUGAUUCUGAAGGCAACACCAAAAACUCUUGCGACAUUGACAAGCGAAAAAUGUCACUUGAUGUAUAAUAGUAAUAGUAGAUGUUCGUUUCCCACUUGUAUGAUGGCAAUUAUCAUAUAGUAGGCUAGUAUUAGGAGUCUGACCUUAAUUCACUUUGUUUGCUUGUUAUUUGUAUCUUGGAUUCGAAACAAGUUUGGAUUGUUUUGCCCAAUAAAUGCUUUUUGUUCUUCUUUCCCUCGCUUA